rnacentral:rRNA from 1 species
UACGGGGGGAGCAAGCGUUGUUCGGAUUUACUGGGCGUAAAGGGCGCGUAGGCGGCGCAACAAGUCACUUGUGAAAUCUCCGGGCUUAACCCGGAGCGGCCAAGUGAUACUGUCGUGCUAGAGUGCGGAAGGGGCUACUGGAAUUCUCGGUGUAGCGGUGAAAUGCGUAGAUAUCGAGAGGAACACCUGCGGCGAAGGCGGGUUGCUGGGCCGACACUGACGCUGAUGCGCGAAAGCUAGGGUAGCAAACGGG